rnacentral:rRNA from 1 species
CCCYGCCMAUGGUCUUUAAUUAAAUAAAAUUAAAAAUUUUUAAAAAGAUUUAAAGGACGCAGUAUUCUGACUGUGAUAAUGUAGCAUAAUCAUUCGCCAUUUAAUUGAUGGAUAGUAUGAAUGGUUGAACGAAUUCUUCACUGUCUUAAAAAAAGAAAAUAAUGAAAUUUAAAUAAUAGUAAAGAUGCUAUUUAAAAUUGUAAGACGAAAAGACCCUAUAGAGCUUAACUAUAAACUCUUUAAAAACCCUAAGAAAAAAUUCUAAAAGAGAGAGUUUGGUAGUUUAGUUGGGGCGACUAUCUUUUAAAAACAACAAAGAUAAGCAAUAUUAAUGAAAAAUUUAUUGUAUAACCUAUAAGUUUAACAAUUACAAAAGUAGGCCAUAAUGACCCGUUUUCCUUUAGUAAAAAAGAAAACGAUUAAUAAAUAAAAGCUACCUUAGGGAUAACAGGAUAAUUUUGUUCUAGAGAUCCUAUCGAAAACAAAGUUUGUCACCUCUAUGUUGAAUUAAGAUAUCCAAGUAAUGCAGAAGUUACUA